rnacentral:rRNA from 1 species
UACGAAGGGUGCUAGCGUUGUUCGGAAUCACUGGGCGUAAAGCGUGCGUAGGCUGCUUAUCAAGUCAGAGGUGAAAUCCUUGGGCUCAACCCAAGAACUGCCUUUGAAACUGUUAGGCUGGAGUGUCGGAGGGGAUAGGGGAAUUUCUAAUGUAGUGGUGGAAUACGUAGAUAUUAGAAGGAACACCGGUGGCGAAGGCGCCUAUCUGGACGACAACUGACGCUGAGGCACGAAAGCGUGGGGAUCAAACAGG